CAGCAGCCGCGGUAAUACGGAGGGUGCAAGCGUUAUCCGGAUUUAUUGGGUUUAAAGGGUCCGUAGGCGGACUUAUAAGUCAGUGGUGAAAGCCUGUCGCUUAACGAUAGAACUGCCAUUGAUACUGUAAGUCUUGAGUAUAUUUGAGGUAGCUGGAAUAAGUAGUGUAGCGGUGAAAUGCAUAGAUAUUACUUAGAACACCAAUUGCGAAGGCAGGUUACCAAGAUAUAACUGACGCUGAGGGACGAAAGCGUGGGUAGCGAACAGGAUUAGAUACCCGCGUAGUCCCUGUCUCUUAUAC
rnacentral:rRNA from 1 species